rnacentral:rRNA from 1 species
CCUACGGGAGGCAGCAGUGGGGAAUAUUGGACAAUGGGGGGAACCCUGAUCCAGCGACGCCGCGUGAGUGAAGAAGUAUUUCGGUAUGUAAAGCUCUAUCAGCAGGGAAGAAAGACAUGACGGUUCCUGACUAAGAAGCCCCCGCUAACUACGUGCCAGCAGCCGCGGUACUACGUAGGGGGCAAGCGUUAUCCGGAUUUACUGGGUGUAAAGGGAGCGUAGACGGCGAUGCAAGUCUGAAGUGAAAGGCGGGGGCCCAACCCCCGGACUGCUUUGGAAACUGUAAGGCUGGAGUGCAGGAGAGGUAAGUGGAAUUCCUAGUGUAGCGGUGAAAUGCGUAGAUAUUAGGAGGAACACCAGUGGCGAAGGCGGCUUACUGGACUGUAACUGACGUUGAGGCUCGAAAGCGUGGGGAGCAAACAGGAUUAGAUACCCUAGUAGUC